GUAGGUGGCAAGCGUUACUCGGAAUCACUAGGCGUAAAGCGCAGGUAGGCGGUUUGAUAAGUCUGUUGUGAAAGCUCCCGGCUUAACUGGGAGAGGUCAACGGAAACUAUCAGGCUAGAGUGUGGUAGAGGUAGCUGGAAUUCCCGGUGUAGCGGUGAAAUGCGUAGAUAUCGGGAGGAAUACCUAUGGCGAAAGCAGGCUACUGGACCAUCACUGACGCUGAUCUGCGAAAGCUAGGGGAGCAAACAGGAUUAGAUACCCUGGUAGUCCUAGCCCUAAACGAUGCUCAUUAGGUGUGGGAGGUAUCGACCCCUUCCGCGCCGUAGCUAACGCAUUAAAUGAGCCGCCUGGGGAGUACGGCCGCAAGGUUG
rnacentral:rRNA from 1 species